rnacentral:sRNA from 1 species
AUGCAUUACAGUGUAUCAUGUCGUGAC